GCAGGGGGACUACCGCUCCCGGCACGCUGCGCGCCCGCCCCGCCGCGGGACGCCGGGGGCGCCGCCACGCGAGGCGCACUGGGAAGUGUAGUGCCGGAGAGGGAGGCGGGGUCCCGCGGGGCAUGCCGGGAGGUGCAGUCCCGCUCCCUCAGCCCCAGCUGGGGGCCCGGGAGGCUCCGGCAGCCGGGCCCGGGCUCUGCAUCCGCCCUCGGCCUCUUCCAGCCGAACAGACCCCGGGUGUGUGCCCAGCUAACGCAGAGGCUCCGCUCUCCCCUGCGACAUGAACACACGAGCAGACAGGGCUGACAUGGCCGCUGCCCUGUCACAGCACAGCCCAGCACCGAGACCUCCAGGCUCUGCUAUUUCAAGGAUCAGAGCUGCUGUCAGAGCUGAAACCCAGCACUGUGACAAGCAAGAGAGAGAAUUGCCCUGAAGGCCUGCUCCAGGGUCUGCUUUUUUUCUGCUCAAAUCUACAAGCAAAUCAAAAUAAAGAGAAAAUUGACAACUCUAGAUCCCAAAAGUACUAUGAAGUGGAUAAAAGCAUUGGGCAUGGCUGAUUACUUGGGUUUUAAUGAAUGGUUUAUGGACAUAGUGCAAUUGUAGCACCUUUCACUUUAUUCCCUCUGUAAAAAAUUAUUAAUAAAGAUAUCAAAGCUGA